rnacentral:lncRNA from 1 species
AGUACCCGUUUCUUGGUAACUCUACAGUGAAGCGCAUCAUUACGGAUGGAGAACCUUCUUCCUCGAUACCUGAUCACAUGAUGCAUGUUUCUGACGAGAAAAUUCAUCAAUUGUAUGAUUUCCUAGAGACAGAUGACGAGUAAGACUUGACAAUUAAUUUAUCUUCAAAUAUCAUAAUGUAACUUUGUCAUUGUAAUCACUCUUAUGUUUUGAUUUUCAGGGAAGACUUUCUUAACACUACUAAUGGAGAUAUGACUCUGUUCAAAAAAAGAUUGUUAUUAGUGAAACAUAUAUACAUGUAGCAUCAAAUGUUUGAGGAGGAGUAAGUAAUACCUGUAGAAUUUUCUCUACCCCACGUGUUAGAGAUGUUGUCAUUUUUAAUGCAUCUUUCCUUCGAUCUGCAAACCAUCUAGUCAUCAUGGAUCUAAUGGUUUCUAACAGUUCAACAAUAGGAUAACUCCUAGCGUGUGACAUCACCUUAUUCAUUGAUUCUGCAAUGUUGCUUGUAAGCAAAUUGUACCUAUCACCAGGAAAAUAUACACGUGUCCAUAGUCGCACAUCAGCUCUCUCAAGGUAAUCAUGAAGAAGCGGAUUCAACGCUUCAAUCUGAUUAAAUAUUGUCUGAAAAUCGACUUGUCUGAAUGCAUUCGCCGCUUUCUUAACCAGACAAAAUGCUUCCCGGUCUUUAAAACGAACCAAUACAUUCUUGUAAAAAUGGUAUGUACAUAUUCCCCGGCUAGACUUUGGAUAAACCGCAGCGAUUGCUUUUCCUAUUGAUUUGUGCCUGUCCGAAAUAAUUGCAAGGCUCUCGUCAUCUGGAAUAACACACUUGAGUUGCUUGAAAACCAGUCCCAUGAUUCAUCAUUUUCUGUAUCAACCACGGCAAAAACUAUAGGAAAAAUCUGAAAAUUACCAUCUUGCGCAGUUGCCGUCAGAAGUGUCCCUUUGUAUUUCUCCUGUAAAAAUGUCCCGUCAACGACAACAACUUUCCUCAUGAAAGGAAAUCCAUUCAUGCUUGCUCCAAAGGCUAGAAACAAGUACUUAAAUUGAUUGGUCUCGUCAACAUCAAGGCACGUAUAAGUACCAGGAUUUGCCCUCCUUAGCAUGUACAAGUAAGUAUGUAGCUGCUCGUAACCACUCUCAGGACUACCCCUAACCAAUUCGCGAGCAUGCCUUAGCGUCCGAUAAGCUUUCCAAUAAUCCAUCUAUCCAAAACAAAAUAUUAUUUGUUUAGGUGAAUCAAAUUGAAUAUGUAAUAAAAAUUUAAAAAUAGCUACCACUAUUUUACCUUGAUCUGAAAGCGUUUAUUCAACGCUUCAGCAACAUGCAUUGGCAAUACUGUGGGCCCAACUCCACCAACAAAAUCCUUGUACAACGAAGCAAGAAUAUCAUGAGUUGCUUGUCGGGCACGUGAAGAACGCUCUGUCACUGAACAUGUAUGUUGUGAAAUAAACACACGGACGUGAAACUUUGGGUAAUCCUUUGAUGUUGUAGCUCUCACCCUCCACGUACAGCCUUUUACCCAGCACUUGACAAUCAGCAAAAAUGGUGUCGACUUAUCAACAUAAAAAUCAAACUUUUGUACCACAGUUAGUAUCUUCAAUCGCGUCUCCAAAUGUUCUUUCGUUUCAUAAGAUUGACCAAUAGCCAAAUUGACACAAGACAAGUCUAAUUUCAAGAAAUUAGCAUCUUCCUUUUGUUCUUCAAUAAAAAUCUCUGAACUCCUUUUCUUCAAUGGUAACAAUUCGUUGGGUUUUUCUUCUUCUUCUGGAGGAAUCCCAUACAAGGUAAAAUUUUCAUCAUCGGAGUCUGUACCAUCAGAAUCGUCACAGUAAUCGAAUCUCGUUUCUUCAUCGUCAAUGUCUUCGUCUUCUUUACUAUCAACAUAUUGAUC